rnacentral:rRNA from 1 species
UACGGGGGGGGCAAGCGUUGUUCGGAAUUACUGGGCGUAAAGGGCUCGUAGGUGGCCAACUAAGUCAGACGUGAAAUCCCUCGGCUUAACCGGGGAACUGCGUCUGAUACUGGAUGGCUUGAGUUCGGGAGAGGGAUGCGGAAUUCCAGGUGUAGCGGUGAAAUGCGUAGAUAUCGGGAGGAACACCAGUGGCGAAGGCGGCUACCUGGCCCACUCUUGACGCUGAGGCGCGAAAGCUAGGGGAGCAAACGGG